rnacentral:misc_RNA from 1 species
AGCAGCCGCGGUAAUUCCAGCUCCAAUAGCGUAUAUUAAAGUUGUUGCAGUUAAAAAGCUCGUAGUUGAAUUUCGGGGUUAGCAGGUCGGUCGUGCCAUCGGUAUGAACUGGUCUCGCUGAUCCCUCCCUCUUGACGAACUGUGAUGCCAUUAAUUUGGUGUCGCAGGGAAUCAGGACUGUUACUUUGAAAAAUUAGAGUGUUUAAAGCAGGCUCACGCUUGAAUACAUUAGCAUGGAAUAAUGAAAUAGGACGUUUGAUCCUAUUUUGUUGGUUUCUAGGAUUGACGUAAUGAUUAAUAGGGAUAGUUGGGGGCAUUAGUAUUCAAUUGUCAGAGGUGAAAUUCUUGGAUUUAUUGAAGACUAACUACUGCGAAAGCAUUUGCCAAGGAUGUUUUCAUUAAUCAAGAACGAAAGUUAGGGGAUCGAAGACGAUCAGAUACCGUCGUAGUCUUAACCAUAAACUAUGCCGACUAGGGAUCGGAUGAUGUUAAUUUUAAUGACUCAUUC